rnacentral:lncRNA from 1 species
GUACAUUGGCCUAAUCUCAUAAGUUACGGCAUUCUUCCUUAUCGAGGCUUCAUAUUCAGUUUAAUUUGUCUUCUUUCAGCCAAGGGAGCCGAAGUCUAUAUAUAUAUAUAUACAAUAUUAUAGUAUUUUAAUUACCAUCGAGUUAUAAUCGAUGGGCAGGACCCUAUUGGCCAACCUCUGAUCGGAUGUUAAGUUAUAUACCGAGCCUACUGUGGCUGAAUGCCUAUGAGCGGGCCCAGAAUGACCGAGAUACAGAGCUUAGUAUGGCCGAGGGCCAAUGAGAGAGCCUACUACGGCAGAGCACUUACACAUACGAGCCUUAUAGAGUCAGACAACUAAUUUACUUACUAUAUUGAGAGAGUUGAGUCAGUAUUAGCAGGUAAGCAUAUCGUCAAAUUAUCUUUGACUCCUAUUACUUUCAGUUGUUAUAUUAUCAGUUUAGUUGCAGCUUUCAAUUUUUUUAUUAUCUUACAUACUCGGUACAUUAUUUCUUCUUGACGUACCUUCUUAUCGAGGACGUUGCAUUUUAUGCCUGCAGGUCCUGAUAGACAGCUGAAUAGACCUUUCUUAUAGACAGAGUCAAACAUGAGGUUGGUUGGUAAGUUCUACUUCCUCGAAGUUACCAGGUCUAUACCUUGGAGUCCAUUUUAUAUAUACAGGUUUGAGGGGUAGGCCGAGGCCUUGUCCCGACAAUGAUACGAUUUUUUCUAUCUCUAGAGGCUUGUAGACGAGUCCAGUAUAUUUUGUAUAUCAGUAGAUUUUCAUGGUGACUUUGUUAGCCUACACAUUUAUAUAUAUCAACUUUUGGGUCUGUGUACCCUUCAUAUGAUAGACACAUUAUUUUCAGAUGAUUCAGAAUAUGGCCUCGUCAGCCUAACUCGAGAGGUACCUCUUCAAAGUUCACAGUUACAGAGUGGUACACUCGGGCCGAGUAUGGCACCAAGUGUCGGCCACGCCUCUUCAGGUUUGAGGUGUGACAAUACAUUUUUAGGUACCAAAUAUAAAUGGUUUCUGGCACGAGCUAAAAGUGAAAACCCCAAAUAUUUUCUUAUAAGAAGAUUUCUCUCCUUGAAAAAGAGUCAAUCACAAAUUGAGGAGAAUACUCUUUGUUUCUAUUUCUACCACUAAACUUUGUUAUUUUCAUACUUGUAACAAUGAUAUGUGAUGUCAUUACAAUGAUAUGUGAUGUCAUUACAUUUACAUUGAUAUACAUGUAAUAAGUACUAACAGUCCUUUCAAAAAAAUAGUACUAACAGCUCUAUUUUCCUUUUAAUUAACGUAUUUGAAAAACCACAAAAGUUUAUCCUUUGUCCUUACAUCCUAUUAUUGUUGCUACUUAUUUCUCAAUCAACAUAAGAGCGUAAUUUCAUGUUUAUUGCAGUAUCCCUUUUUUUUUUUUUUGG